rnacentral:rRNA from 1 species
GGGUGAGUAAUACAUCGGAACGUGUCCUGUUGUGGGGGAUAACUGCUCGAAAGGGUGGCUAAUACCGCAUGAGACCUGAGGGUGAAAGCGGGGGAUCGCAAGACCUCGCGCAAUUGGAGCGGCCGAUGCCCGAUUAGCUAGUUGGUGAGGUAAAGGCUCACCAAGGCGACGAUCGGUAGCUGGUCUGAGAGGACGACCAGCCACACUUGGACUGAGACACGGCCCAGACUCCUACGGGAGGCAGCAGUGGGGAAUUUUGGACAAUGGGGGCAACCCUGAUCCAGCCAUGCCGCGUGCAGGAUGAAGGCCUUCGGGUUGUAAACUGCUUUUGUCAGGGACGAAAAGGACCGUGUUAAUACCAUGGUCUGCUGACGGUACCUGAAGAAUAAGCACCGGCUAACUACGUGCCAGCAGCCGCGGUAAUACGUAGGGUGCAAGCGUUAAUCGGAAUUACUGGGCGUAAAGCGUGCGCAGGCGGUUCUGUAAGACAGAUGUGAAAUCCCCGGGCUCAACCUGGGAAUUGCAUUUGUGACUGCAGGACUAGAGUUCAUCAGAGGGGGGUGGAAUUCCAAGUGUAGCAGUGAAAUGCGUAGAUAUUUGGACGAACACCAAUGGCGAAGGCAGCCCCCUGGGAUGCGACUGACGCUCAUGCACGAAAGCGUGGGGAGCAAACAGGAUUAGAUACCCUGGUAGUCCACGCCCUAAACGAUGUCUACUGGUUGUUGGGGUUUUUUAACCUUGGUAACGAAG